rnacentral:rRNA from 1 species
GCUUUACACAUGCAAGUCGAACGGCAGCGGGGGCUUCGGCCUGCCGGCGAGUGGCGAACGGGUGAGUAAUACAUCGGAACGUGUCCUUAAGUGGGGAAUGGGGAUCGCAAGACCUUGCGCUAAAGGAGCGGCCGAUGUCUGAUUAGCUAGUUGGUGGGGUAAAGGCUUACCAAGGCAACGAUCAGUAGUUGGUCUGAGAGGACGGCCAACCACACUGGGACUGAGACACGGCCCAGACUCCUACGGGAGGCAGCAGUGGGGAAUUUUGGACAAUGGGCGNNNGCCUGAUCCAGCCAUGCCGCGUGAGUGAAGAAGGCCUUCGGNUUGUAAAGCUCUUUC